rnacentral:rRNA from 1 species
AACGAACGCUGGCGGCAGGCUUAACACAUGCAAGUCGAACGCAUCGCAAGAUGAGUGGCAGACGGGUGAGUAACGCGUGGGAACAUACCCUUUCUACAGAAUAGCUCUGGGAAACUGGAAUUAAUACCGUAUACGCCCUACGGGGGAAAGAUUUAUCGGGGAAGGAUUGGCCCGCGUUGGAUUAGCUAGUUGGUGGGGUAAAGGCCUACCAAGGCGACGAUCCAUAGCUGGUCUGAGAGGAUGAUCAGCCACAUUGGGACUGAGACACGGCCCAAACUCCUACGGGAGGCAGCAGUGGGGAAUAUUGGACAAUGGGCGCAAGCCUGAUCCAGCCAUGCCGCGUGAGUGAUGAAGGCCUUAGGGUUGUAAAGCUCUUUCACCGAUGAAGAUAAUGACGGUAGUCGGAGAAGAAGCCCCGGCUAACUUCGUGCCAGCAGCCGCUGUAAUAC